AGUGAACGCUGGCGGUAGGCCUAACACAUGCAAGUCGAACGGCAGCACAGGAGAGCUUGCUCUCUGGGUGGCGAGUGGCGGACGGGUGAGGAAUACAUCGGAAUCUACCUUUUCGUGGGGGAUAACGUAGGGAAACUUACGCUAAUACCGCAUACGACCUACGGGUGAAAGUGGGGGACCGCAAGGCCUCACGCGAUUAGAUGAGCCGAUGUCCGUUUAGCUAGUUGGCGGGGUAAUGGCCCACCAAGGCGACGAUCGGUAGCUGGUCGUAGAGGAUGAUCAGCCACACUGGAACUGAGGCACGGUCCAGACUCCUGCGGAGGCAGCAGUGGGGAAUAUUGGACAAUGGGCGCAAGCCUGAUCCAGCCAUACCGCGUGGGUGAAGAAGGCCUUCGGGUUGUAAAGCCCUUUUGUUGGGAAAGAAAUCCUGUCGAUUAAUACUCGGUGGGGAUGACGGUACCCAAAGAAUAAGCACCGGCUAACUUCGUGCCAGCCGCCGCGGUAAAAC
rnacentral:rRNA from 1 species